GAUGGCAUGGGAAGCCCGUCCCGGAGCAAUGUCAAGUUGCAG
rnacentral:ribozyme from 14 species